UUGGACAAGGAUUGGCGGGAGGCGGGUUGAGCACUCGGUCCUGGGUUUGGAUAAAGCAUAGGUUCACAUUGGAAUAAUUUAGGUGCUGUAAAAAGAGGGAGCAAGAACGGCCUGGAGCUUUCCCUUCCUGAAGAGCAAAGUGUGUCCAACUUGUGGGUUGCCUCCCUAUCUUAAGUGACACAACUUCUUUCAUUUUAAACAUUUUUCACUAAAACGAAACCAAAAGAGGCCAAAGUAAGAAAGAAGAAAAUAUCUACAAAAUAACAAACUAGGCAGGCCACAGAUUGAACACAGCCUGGGACAAAAUAUAUCCUGAAACAUAGAACAUGGAAGGCAGCCAUGUUGGACAGCUCCAGAGAAGAAACAGCAUAGCAGAAGGGGAAAAACUGCUCACCUCAUGACAACCAAGAGCAGAGAUGGAAAAAGAGGAGCUGGGAAAGGAGAUGUACCAUUCCAGAUUAUGUGGAGACUGUAGAUCUCUAUGCAAGGAAGCAGGCUUCUCCUUGGACCCAUGAGUGAAGAUUAUUCAUUCCAGCAUCUGGAAAUCACAUGAUUGUUCAUUGAUUGCUACUGUGACUCUGGCACCACGCUACCCCAAGCCAUUGGGCCUGCAGAACCAAUAGCCCUCCUCUGCCUGCUCAGAACUCCACAGUUCCAGACAAGCUGGGCCUCAGGGACACUGUGCGCCCACCUGCCCCUUGGAAGCUCCACAGCUCUUCAAUCGCAGCCGGGUUAGGGUACUCACCACAGGCCAUGGUGCCUCAGGAACCUGCGAUCCCUCCCUGCUUGCAGAGAUAUUCACAGUCCUCCAGACACAGGAAGGGGCCGAUGCAGGCACCCCAGAUCUGCCCAGCUCCUCCUCUGCACACUGAUGGCUAGGCGUGGCAGCACAACAGGCUGGGCUCAGGGGAUAGUGUGGGCCCGCCCAGCUGUCGGAAGCUCAGCAGAUCUCCAAGUGCAGCCGGGAUGGGGAGGCGGAUCUCAUUUAGUGGUUUCAAUGUCAUGUGGCCUGGUUAGGAAAGAACCUGGGAGAUCUUCAAGCCACAGAAUAAAGGAAAUUUAAAUAUAAAAAA